UACGUAGGGUGCAAGCGUUAAUCGGAAUUACUGGGCGUAAAGCGUGCGCAGGCGGUUCGCCAAGUCAGGUGUGAAAUCCCCGGGCUUAACCUGGGAACUGCAUUUGUGACUGCAUCGCUGGAGUGCGGCAGAGGGGGAUGGAAUUCCGCGUGUAGCAGUGAAAUGCGUAGAUAUGCGGAGGAACACCGAUGGCGAAGGCAAUCCCCUGGGCCUGCACUGACGCUCAUGCACGAAAGCGUGGGGAGCAAACAGG
rnacentral:rRNA from 1 species